GGGGAAUAUUGCGCAAUGGGCGGAAGCCUGACGCAGCGACGCCGCGUGAGGGAUGAAUGCCUUCGGGUUGUAAACCUCUUUCAGCAGGGAAGAAGCGAAAGUGACGGUACCUGCAGAAGAAGCACCGGCUAACUACGUGCCAGCAGCCGCGGUAAUACGUAGGGUGCAAGCGUUGUCCGGAAUUAUUGGGCGUAAAGAGCUCGUAGGCGGUUUGUCGCGUCUGCUGUGAAAACUCAGGGCUUAACCCUGAGCUUGCAGUGGGUACGGGCAGACUAGAGUGCAGUAGGGGAGACUGGAAUUCCUGGUGUAGCGGUGAAAUGCGCAGAUAUCAGGAGGAACACCGGUGGCGAAGGCGGGUCUCUGGGCUGUAACUGACGCUGAGGAGCGAAAGCGUGGGGAGCGAAC
rnacentral:rRNA from 1 species